AAUAGACUAUAUAACGACGCAAAAAUAGACGCUAUAAGCCUAUAACCACAAUAGAUUUAGAGCGUACGCACGAUACAGAAGAAGUAUUAGAAGCCACUACUGCUGCGUGCUCGCAGCAUAAUAUUAUUCCCGAAAAUAAAAUACAACAGAGAUUCGAGAAAUUAAUAAAGAACACGCAAACAUUUUUGGAUAUUGAAAGUGACACCGAUAAAGCAAGUCUAUGCAUAAAAUGUAUAUUAAAGUUUUGAAUCUACCAAUACUGAACUCGAACAUCCUACUCUUAAACGACGCAACAUUGCAGCUCAAAAUAAAAUGUUAAGCGGACGACAACCAGAAACAAAGGGAUACUCCCUCCUUUAAAAGUUGGCUACAAUGUGGUGGUGUCAAUCUCGUCGGUGGAUCGAGGGCGAUGAGAUGCAGCCAACCCUCUUGUAGUUAUCAUAGAAGAAAAAGAUGGCAAAUUUCGUAUCGGGGCUAAAAAAGAGAUUUUAAGCACUGGUUGGAGCGGAACAAUUUGGCAGCUAAAAAGUACCUACUGUUCUCUGACAACUGCAGUUCAACAAAAUGAA